AAUAGAUACCCUGGUAGUCCAUGCCGUAAACGUUGGGAACUAGGUGUGGGUCUCAUUCCACGAGAUCCGUGCCGCAGCUAACGCAUUAAGUUCCCCGCCUGGGGAGUACGGCCGCAAGGCUAAAACUCAAAGGAAUUGACGGGGGCCCGCACAAGCGGCGGAGCAUGCGGAUUAAUUCGAUGCAACGCGAAGAACCUUACCAAGGCUUGACAUACACCGGAAUCACUCAGAGAUGGGUGCGUCUUCGGACUGGUGUACAGGUGGUGCAUGGUUGUCGUCAGCUCGUGUCGUGAGAUGUUGGGUUAAGUCCCGCAACGAGCGCAACCCUCGUUCUAUGUUGCCAGCACGUGAUGGUGGGGACUCAUAGGAGACUGCCGGGGUCAACGUCGGAGGAAGGUGGGGAUGACGUCAAAUCAUCAUGCCCCUUAUGUCCAGGGCUUCACGCAUGCUACAAUGGCCGGUACAAUGGGCUGCGAUACCGGUGAGGUGGAGCGAAUCCCGAAAAAGCCGGUCUCAGUUCGGAGUC
rnacentral:rRNA from 1 species